UGUUGGUAGGGUAACGGCCUACCAAGGUAACGAUCAGUAGCCGACCUGAGAGGGUGAACGGCCACAUUGGAACUGAGACACGGUCCAAACUUCUACGGAAGGCAGCAGUAAGGAAUCUUGCACAAUGGGGGGAACCCUGAUGCAGCAACGCCGCGUGAACGAAGAAAGCCUUCGGGUUGUAAAGUUCUGAUCUUGGGGAAGAAAUCAAUGACGGUACCCAAGGAGAAAGCCCCGGCUAACUACGUGCCAGCAGCCGCGGUAAUACGUAGGGGGCAAGCGUUAUCCGGAAUUAUUGGGCGUAAAGGGUGCGUAGGUGGCAGUAUAAGCGCAAGGUUUAAAAUUGAGGCUCAACCUCAAUAUGCCUUGCGAACUGUAAUGCUUGAGUGCAGGAGGGGAAAGCGGAAUUCCUAGUGUAGCGGUGAAAUGCGUAGAGAUUAGGAAGAACACCGGUGGCGAAGGCGGCUUUCUGGACUGCAACUGACACUGAGGCACGAAAGCGUGGGUAGCAAACAGGAUUAGAUACCCUGGUAGUCCACGCCGUAAACGAUGAGCACUAGUUGUUGGUUCCGGAUGGAAUCAGUGACGCAGUUAACG
rnacentral:rRNA from 1 species